CAGCGGCCCUCCGCCUCUUGGGUUUGGGUGAUGAUGGUUUCACCUCAGCGGCCCUCCGCCUCUUGGGUUUGGGUGAUGGUUUCACCUCAGCGGCCCUCCGCCUCUUGGGUUCGGGUGAUGAUGGUUUCACCUCAGCGGCCCUCCGCCUCUUGGGUUCGGGUGAUGAUGGUUUCACCUAAGCGGCCCUCUGCCUCUUGGGUUCGGGUGAUGAUGGUUUCACCUCAGCGGCCCUCCGCCUCUUGGGUUUGGGUGGUUCUUCUGCCUCAGCGUCCUGAGUAGCUAAGGGAGGUGUCUGGUGGCUCAUCCUGUUUUUUAAAGUUUCAGCUGUGAGGUAGGGCCAGUACGGCAAUCCUGAAGAAUGACAAUUCUCCGCUGCCCCCAUUCUGACCUGUAGGGCCAAAGGAGGUAAUGUUUUGACACAUAUUCAUUUGAUGGACAAAAUUACCGCCACCAACACACUCUGCACCUUCUGUUGCUGGUGAUAGAUUUUUGCACCUUUCCAUCCUCCAGGUUUCAAAAUAGCAGUAUCAGUGUCUUAAUAUCACCCUUCCUCUGAGUACUGCCAAUAGCUGGGGGGUAAAGAAAAGUCAUUGGGACACACUGUUGUCUCCACAUGCCAGUGUGUCUGUCUGCAAAUGUAGGCAGGCUGGGGUCCUGCCCCAGGGAAGACAGAGUCAUAACAGAGUAAUAAAGAAGCAUGUUUGAGACACAGGAGUGUCUAUGUCUAUCCUCAUUCCUCCCUCACAGCCAUCACCAGAGCAUGUUUCUUGCACCAGGUCAACAGACAGUAAGAGACAGUAAGAGAGGUAUGAAAAGCCCAUUGUCCACAUAUGUUGCAGCUUCUUUUUGGAGAAUGUUUUCCAGGCCUUUUAUGUUCUGUCUCUGAUUCUCAGAACUUUGCAAGGUCAGUGUGACCACCCUGCUCCAAAUCUAAGAAAACAGAGGUUUCCAGAGGAAGGAGAAAUUGUGCCCAGGGUCACACAGCUUGCAAGAGGCAGAGUGGAAGUUGAUUCCAGCUCUGCCUGCAGGCCCCUCUCAUUUCCCCUCUGUUUCCCUUCUUGACAAAGGAUCUUCUUC
ensembl:lincRNA